GAUCUGCAGAGGAAGCAAGAAUGUAUCCCCCUGGAGAAGAGACCUCUGCAGAGGAAGCAAGAAUGUAUCCCCCCCCUGGAGAAGAGACCUCUGCAGGUGGUGGAGUGUCUCUUGGAGGAUAGCGUACUGGAGGACUUCCUGGUUGACUGUGAAAGCUUGAUCACUUCUGCCAAUUACAAAGUCAAUGACAUUACAGAACGCAAGUCCUUCUGCAGUAAUUCUGCUACAAAGCCUCCAAGUCAUUUGAGCUGCAGAUUUCAAAGAGCCCUCUAUGAUUGAGGCAGCACAAGAGAUGUAAACUUAAUGAAUAAAAGAGAUUGCGGUAGCACUGGAGAGGAAGAGAGGCUGACUGGGGUGUUUCAGAGGAGGAUGUGAGGAACCUUCCCCUGUACUCUGUGGCCCCAGAGAACCCCAGAUGAUCCCGUACAGCCGGUCACAGCGACACAGAACAGCACUUUGUUUCCAGCGUAGUCUCCCAGCAACAGGGACCCAGGGUGCGCUGGGGCAGUCUGCCCAAGCACACCAAUGAAGGGGAGGGGAGAGAACGAGAAAAGGGAGAGAAGGUCGGGAGGGAAGGACACAAAGAUGCCAAAACAAACAAACAAGGCUGAAGCCAAGAAGGAAGGAGAAUACAGAAGAAUCACAGAAAGAACCAACAAAGACAAUCAAUGACAUAGAUGGACCCCAACAACACACAACAGAUACAAACCACCCCAGUAAGCAGCAGCCUUUCCUGGAAGAGAGAGGCUCACCAGAGGGCCGGUCUAUGGAGGAUGUCGCAGCACUACUGAGCCAAGUCACAAUGCAGGAUAGAGAUCCAGUCACGGUUACAUCUUCUGUACUAACAACCGUCAACACAAUGCAGUGUACAGAAUCAAGAUCCAGCUCCAACCCCCAACCCUCAGUGGGACUCAACCCCAGCACAGCCCACCCAGCCGGGCCUCAGGAUCACCCAGUUGGGCAUGAGCAGGAGGGGGACCCAGGGGCUCCUCAAGGGCCACGAAACUACUCCAAAACCUGGCUCGGUCUGACUGAACCUUCUAGAAGUCCUAUGGAGUUCCUUUGACGAAUGGUGGACUGAGGAGACUAUGAAGUUCCUAUAUGGCCCAGACCACUUUAAUAAAACAACAGUAGAAACGAAGAAGAAAAAAGAGGAGAAGAAGAAGAACUGGAUGAAGAUAACCUGGAGGAUGUUGUAGAAGGGGUUGGGGAUGGAGGGGACGGCGGGUCCCCAGAGGGUCAGGGAGUUCUACAAAGGGGAGGAAGCCCACUGGGUGUCAGGAAAACAGGCCCUGAGACUCAGAGGACCAGGGUGGUUGGUUGAUUCCCAUGCCUAGCACCUCAUACAGAAACACAUAACGGUUGAGAAGCUCACUAAAGGGUGUGUGUGUCUGUAUGAAAAUGCUGCUACGGUUUUAUGCAAUGGAAAUGUGGUCACUGAUGUGCUGAUAGUUGACAACCAGCAAUAUUACAGAAGCAUUGGUAAGUACUAGCUCGGUCUUGUUGAACUUCGCAUCUCAGCAACUUAAGAGAUUAAAUAAAGUUCUGUGUAUAUGCGUGUGUAUUUAUAUGUCCGGUUUUCCUCAUCUUGGGAAACGUCUCACCAUGACUGACAUCUCCAGUGACCACAACAGCCUGGUCAGGACCUUCAGGUCAGUGCCAAUGUCAACUCUGAGAGUUAAAGGGCCAAUCCUUAAUUGAAACAAUAAAAAACAAUAAAAGGAUGGGCCUGGAGAAAUGUAACUCUUCUCAAAUUCAUAGACAGAGCUAUGGAUGCAAGGCCUGAGCGUCCUAGAUUAGAGUUUCAAGCAUGAUUUGAGGCAAUACAGUGUUUGUUUAUAUUUGAAAUCUAAUUGUAUUGGUCGCAUACACAUAUUUAGCAGAUGCUACUGAAGGUGUAGCUAAAUGCUUGUUUACUAACAUUGGAGUGAAACAAGCUUAUAUUUUGGGCUCUGAUGGGGUAUGACAUUUGAACUUAGCUAAUAAAGCAAUUUAAUAGUUAUAUUCUUCAAGAAUCAAUGGGUAUGUAUUGUUAAUUUAUAAGUCCAAAAAUGGAUGUAUUACACUGCAGAUUGCUGUUUCAACACACCAUUUCCUACUACAGUGUCCAAUAAUGUCUGGUAGAGAAACUGGACAUUUUACACUUUUGUUUCAGUCAAUAUUUACCUGGUCCCGUAGUCAUAAACCAUCUUAUCUGAAGUGCUGAUCUAGAAUCAGUAUUGGCUUUUUGAUCAUAGUGAAUAAGAUUACAUGGACGGGAGACGAGGACACACAUGAUCCUAGAUCAGAACUACUACUCUGAGACUAUGAAUACAUGCUCUGGUAUUUAUGGAGAAGUUAUGUGGUGACAAGGCUUCCACGAACUGAGUGAACUUUUCAGGGUAGCCCCAAACUGCCAGAGGUGAACUCUGUUCCUGUCAUGGGCACUAAACUGGGCUGUGAUUGGCUGAUUGAGGUGCAGUCAACAGGAAGUAGUGAUUGGCAGAGUGCUAUUGACUUCCUGUAGCUCUGAUUUAAUAG